ACCCUGGUCGCACUGCUGCCGCCCGGAGCUCUCUGCGAAGUCUGGACGCAGAGGCUGCACGGCGGCAGCGCGCCCUUGCCCCAGGACCGGGGCUUCCUCGUGGUGCAGGGCGACCCGCGCGAGCUGCGGCUGUGGGAGCGCGGGGAUGCCAGGGGGGCGAGCCGCGCGGACGAGAAGCCGCUCCGGAGGAAACGGAGCGCUGCCCUGCAGCCCGAGCCCAUCAAGGUGUACGGACAGGUUAGUCUGAAUGAUUCCCACAAUCAGAUGGUGGUGCACUGGGCUGGAGAGAAAAGCAACGUGAUCGUGGCCUUGGCCCGAGAUAGCCUGGCAUUGGCGAGGCCCAAGAGCAGUGAUGUGUACGUGUCUUACGACUACGGAAAAUCAUUCAAGAAAAUUUCAGACAAGUUAAACUUUGGCGUGGGAAAUAGGAGUGAAGCUGUGAUCGCCCAGUUCUACCACAGCCCUGCGGACAACAAGCGGUACAUCUUUGCAGACGCUUAUGCCCAGUACCUCUGGAUCACGUUUGACUUCUGCAACACUCUUCAAGGCUUUUCCAUCCCAUUUCGGGCAGCUGAUCUCCUCCUACACAGUAAGGCCUCCAACCUUCUCUUGGGCUUCGACAGGUCCCACCCCAACAAGCAGCUGUGGAAGUCAGAUGACUUUGGCCAGACCUGGAUCAUGAUUCAGGAACAUGUCAAGUCCUUUUCUUGGGGAAUUGAUCCCUAUGACAAACCAAAUACCAUCUACAUUGAACGACAUGAACCCUCUGGCUACUCCACUGUUUUCCGAAGUACAGAUUUCUUCCAGUCCCGGGAAAACCAGGAAGUGAUCCUUGAGGAAGUGAGAGAUUUUCAGCUUCGGGACAAGUACAUGUUUGCUACAAAGGUGGUGCAUCUCUUGGGCAGUGAACAGCAGUCUUCUGUCCAGCUCUGGGUCUCCUUUGGCCGGAAGCCCAUGCGAGCAGCCCAGUUUGUCACAAGACAUCCUAUUAAUGAAUAUUACAUCGCAGAUGCCUCCGAGGACCAGGUGUUUGUCUGUGUCAGCCACAGUAACAACCGCACCAAUUUAUACAUCUCAGAGGCAGAGGGGCUGAAGUUCUCCCUGUCCUUGGAGAACGUGCUCUAUUACAGCCCAGGAGGGGCCGGCAGUGACACCUUGGUGAGGUAUUUUGCAAAUGAGCCAUUUGCUGACUUCCACCGAGUGGAAGGAUUGCAAGGAGUCUACAUUGCUACUCUGAUUAAUGGUUCUAUGAAUGAGGAGAACAUGAGAUCAGUCAUCACCUUUGACAAAGGGGGAACCUGGGAGUUUCUUCAGGCUCCAGCCUUCACGGGAUAUGGAGAGAAAAUCAAUUGUGAGCUUUCCCAGGGCUGUUCCCUUCAUCUGGCUCAGCGCCUCAGUCAGCUCCUCAACCUCCAGCUCCGGAGAAUGCCCAUCCUGUCCAAGGAGUCGGCUCCAGGCCUCAUCAUCGCCACUGGCUCAGUGGGAAAGAACUUGGCUAGCAAGACAAACGUGUACAUCUCUAGCAGUGCUGGAGCCAGGUGGCGAGAGGCACUUCCUGGACCUCACUACUACACGUGGGGAGACCACGGCGGAAUCAUCACGGCCAUUGCCCAGGGCAUGGAAACCAAUGAGCUAAAAUACAGUACCAAUGAAGGGGAGACCUGGAAAACAUUCAUCUUCUCUGAGAAGCCAGUGUUUGUGUAUGGCCUCCUCACAGAACCCGGGGAGAAGAGCACUGUCUUCACCAUCUUUGGCUCGAACAAAGAGAAUGUCCACAGCUGGCUGAUCCUCCAGGUCAAUGCCACGGAUGCCUUGGGAGUUCCCUGCACAGAGAAUGACUACAAGCUGUGGUCACCAUCUGAUGAGCGGGGGAAUGAGUGUUUGCUGGGACACAAGACUGUUUUCAAACGGAGGACCCCCCAUGCCACAUGCUUCAAUGGAGAGGACUUUGACAGGCCGGUGGUCGUGUCCAACUGCUCCUGCACCCGGGAGGACUAUGAGUGAUUCUGCCUUGGUCACAUGCAGAUUCUGCCUCAGGAGUUCUGGGGCUCUGCGUUUCCAUCAAGCUCCCAAGGGAUGUGGAUGCUGCUUAUCUGCACAUUCGCCCUUUGAGCAGCAAGGCUUAGAACAGAGAAGACAGUCAUUUCCUUAGAAAGGUGUGUGCU
rnacentral:sRNA from 1 species